UACGAAGGGGGCUAGCGUUGUUCGGAUUUACUGGGCGUAAAGCGUGCGCAGGCGGUCUGUUAAGACCGAUGUGAAAUCCCCGGGCUUAACCUGGGAACUGCGCUUGUAACUGGCAAGCUAGAGUGUGGCAGAGGGGGGUGGAAUUCCACGUGUAGCAGUGAAAUGCGUAGAGAUGUGGAGGAACACCGAUGGCGAAGGCAGCCCCCUGGGCUAACACUGACGCUCAUGCACGAAAGCGUGGGGAGCAAACAGG
rnacentral:rRNA from 1 species